rnacentral:rRNA from 1 species
UACGUAGGGUGCAAGCGUUGUCCGGAAUUAUUGGGCGUAAAGAGCUCGUAGGCGGUUUGUCGCGUCUGCUGUGAAAACUCGGGGCUUAACUCCGGGCCUGCAGUGGGUACGGGCAGACUAGAGUGUGGUAGGGGAGAUCGGAAUUCCUGGUGUAGCGGUGAAAUGCGCAGAUAUCAGGAGGAACACCGGUGGCGAAGGCGGAUCUCUGGGCCAUUACUGACGCUGAGGAGCGAAAGCGUGGGGAGCAAACGGG